rnacentral:tRNA from 2 species
GGCGCCGUAGCCAAGUGGUAAGGCAGAGGACUGCAAAUCCUCGAUCCCCGGUUCGAAUCCGGGCGGCGCCU